rnacentral:misc_RNA from 1 species
CAUAAUCAAGACUAGAUCAACCACUGUCGACAAGACCCAAAAAAUUUAUUUUGUCAAAAUUUAUUUCACCUGAUCAAAUGAGUAAUAAACAUGAGGUAUUGUACUGACUUCAGGGUUGUAUUUGAAUGAAUUUAUACUUUCUAGUAAGAAAUAGGUUCUUUUUAUGAAAAACAGUGAAAUAAAAAAUAGCCCUAACCAAGCAAAAUAAAGGAAAAGAAUUUAUAUAGCCAAACCCAACUUGAAUGGAAUUUAGGCAAAGUCGAAUUAUGAAAUAAGUAGGUAAAAUUUAAUCCCUUGUUAGCCUAUAUUUUUUAAGAAUUUCAACCAUCUUCUAAUUUUCAACCAUCAUCUAACCCUCGUCUAACCCAUGUAAGACCACAUAUUUAAAAUAAAUCACCCUUGCCCUUUCUCAGUCUAGUAAUAUGAACUAAAGUGGCACUCGGUGCAUACCAAGGUGGCAGAUACCCAUUCACUAAGGAAGUCUGGGCCUCAAAAAACAACAACCACAUUACUGAUCCAAGACACUCGCACAUUCUUGGGGAGAGAGAGAGAGAGAGAG